rnacentral:lncRNA from 1 species
CUCGCGCCCUCUUCAGGAGGGGACAGCUGAGGGACCUGUGCACCCCCACCCCAUCCUGAUAUGGAACCACAGGGAUGAGAGAUCAGAUGCCCCCCUGUAGCCAUGGGCCGUCGGAGGAGAGGGCGGAUGAUGGGCAUCCCUUUGUGCCCCAGGCAUGAAGGGUCUGAGGCUGAAUUUUCGAGGCUCUCGGUUGUCUUUUUCCUCUCCUUCACCUUUGGGUCUCCCCACGGCUCAUUAGGGAUUCUAUUGGAAGAGACGCAAGGAACUCAAAUUCCACAAUUUGGUUUCUGUGGAGAAGGUUUAAUUAGGAGGGUGUAUUAACUUAAUUGGCUAUCAUCAGGCUUCCAGCUUCUUUGUGUAUUUUAAGUAAUUUUCUCUCCUUUUUUCUUACAGCCAGUAGAGCAUGCCUUUAAAAGAUUAAGUCUUUUCUUUGGUCUC